rnacentral:rRNA from 1 species
GAUGAACGCUAGCGAUAGGCUUAACACAUGCAAGUCGAGGGGCAGCAUGGUCUUAGCUUGCUAAGACUGAUGGCGACCGGCGCACGGGUGCGUAACGCGUAUGCAACUUGCCUCACAGAGGGGGAUAACCCGUCGAAAGACGGACUAAUACCGCGUACACUCCAUCUUGGGCAUCCAAGGUAGAGGAAAUGAAAUUCGCUGUGAGAUAGGCAUGCGUCCCAUUAGCUAGUUGGUGAGGUAACGGCUCACCAAGGCGACGAUGGGUAGGGGAACUGAGAGGUUGAACCCCCACACUGGUACUGAGACACGGACCAGACUACUACGGGAGGCAGCAGUGAGGAAUAUUGGUCAAUGGGCGAGAGCCUGAACCAGCCAAGUCGUGUGAAGGAUGACUGUCUUAUGGAUUGUAAACUUCUUUUAUACGGGAAUAACAAGAGUCACGUGUGACUCCCUGCAUGUACCGUAUGAAUAAGCAUCGGCUAACUCCGUG